AUUGAACGCUGGCGGCAGGCCUAACACAUGCAAGUCGAGUGGCAGCACAGCAGUAGCAAUACUGUGGGUGGCGAGUGGCGGACGGGUGAGGAAUACGUCGGAAUCUGCCCAGUCGUGGGGGAUAACUAGCCGAAAGGUUAGCUAAUACCGCAUACGACCGAGAGGUGAAAGCGGGGGACCGCAAGGCCUCGCGCGAUUGGAUGAGCCGACGUCGGAUUAGCUAGUUGGUGGGGUAAAGGCCUACCAAGGCGACGAUCCGUAGCUGGUCUGAGAGGACGACCAGCCACACUGGGACUGAGAAACGGCCCAGACUCCUACGGGAGGCAGCAGUGGGGAAUUUUGGACAAUGGGGGCAACCCUGAUCCAGCAAUGCCGCGUGCAGGAAGAAGGCCUUCGGGUUGUAAACUGCUUUUGUACGGAACGAAAAGGCUCUGGUUAAUACCUGGGGCACAUGACGGUACCGUAAGAAUAAGCACCGGCUAACUACGUGCCAGCCGCCGCCGUAA
rnacentral:rRNA from 1 species